rnacentral:rRNA from 1 species
GACGAACGCUGGCGGCGUGCUUAACACAUGCAAGUCGAACGAUGAAGCUGGAGCUUGCUCUGGUGGAAGAGUGGCGAACGGGUGAGUAACACGUGAGUAACCUGCCCCGAACUCUGGGAUAAGCGCUGGAAACGGCGUCUAAUACUGGAUAUGACCCAUACAGGCAUCUGUUGUGGGUGGAAAGAUUUAUCGGUUCGGGAUGGGCUCGCGGCCUAUCAGCUAGAUGGUGAGGUAACGGCUCACCAUGGCGACGACGGGUAGCCGGCCUGAGAGGGUGGUCGGCCACACUGGGACUGAGACACGGCCCAGACUCCUACGGGAGGCAGCAGUGGGGAAUAUUGCGCAAUGGGCGGAAGCCUGACGCAGCGACGCCGCGUGGGUGACGAAGGCCUUCGGGUCGUAAAACCCUGUUGCAGGGACGGAAGGAAGUAGACGGUACCCUCGUGAGGAAGCCCGGCCUAACUACGUGCCAGCAGCCGCGGUAAACGAUAACUCGUA